rnacentral:rRNA from 1 species
GUCUACGGCCGUGCCACCCUGAACGAGCCCAAUCUCGUCUGAUCGCAAAAGCUAAGCAGGGUUGGGUCUGGUUAGUCCUUGGAUGAGAGACCGCCUAGGAAGACCAGAUGCUGUAGGCG